GAUGGCGGCUAGGAAUUGGUAGUUAUCGUCAGUUAGUGUUUUACCUUGGCCAGAUCUGGAUCCAAUUGUUGCUUCACUGUAUUUCCCAGAUGUCUUCAAAUAGGAGAAAUUAUGAAGCGAAUUGGAAGGAGAUAGGAGGUUAAAAUUAAUGAAGAUGGUGUUUCACUGACAAUUGAAGAUCAAUUUCAUGUGUUAUAUGGUUUAAUGGUGUGAAUAAAAUAACAUGUUUUGCACUGUCUACCAUAUUGAGAAAACCAAGAGCAUGAGCCAUCAGCAGACUGUAAUCAUCAUUAAUAAUUGGAUCUACUUGUUUGUGGCCUUGUCAUCAAGGAAUUCUAUUAAGUCAUCAACAAUACCUCAGUAAUAUUAAUAAUACAUAUUUAUUUUUAUUAAUAAUUAAAUUUUAAAUAUUAUUGGUAUGUAUUUUCUCUCUUUUAUAUUUCCUCUCCUUUGUUUCCUUCACCUUUGGAGUAUAAAUUAAAAUUCUCAUGUCGAGAAUACUUCCAGAA